rnacentral:rRNA from 1 species
AGCUCCAAUAGCGUAUAUUGAAGUUGUUGCAGUUAAAAAGCUCGUAGUUGGAUCUGGGGUCCCGACUCGCGGUUCACCUCGCGGUGCUUACUGCCCGUCCGGACCUACCCGCCGGUUUUCCCUUGGUGCUCUUCACUGAGUGUCUCGGGCGGCCGGAACGUUUACUUUGAAAAAAUUAGAGUGUUCAAGGCAGGCGCUUCGCCUGAAUAAUGGUGCAUGGAAUAAUGGAAUAGGACCUCGGUUCUAUUUUGUUGGUUUCCGGAACUCGAGGUAAUGAUUAAGAGGGACAGAUGGGGGCAUUCGUACUACGGUGUUAGAGGUGAAAUUCUUGGAUCGCCGUAAGACGAACUACCGCGAAAGCAUUUGCCAAGAAUGUUUUCAUUAAUCAAGAACGAAAGUA